GAUGAACGCUAGCGGCAGGCUUAAUACAUGCAAGUCGUGGGGCAGCAGGACUGUAGCAAUCCAGUUGCUGGGGACCGGCAAACGUGUUCGGCACACGUACGCAACUUACCCUGGACUGGGGGAUAGCCCCGGGAAACCCGGAUUGAUACCCCGUAAUAUAAUGGAGGGGCAUCCCUUUAUUAUUAAAGCUCCGGCGGUUCGUGAUGGGCGUGCGGCUGGUUGGGUAGUUGGUUGAGGUAACGGCUCACCAACCCUACGAGCAGUAACUGAUGGGAGAGCACGAACAGUGACACGGGCACUGAGACGCGGGCCCGACUCCUACGGGAGGCAGCAGUUAGGAAUAGUGGGCAAUGUAGGCAACUCUGACCCAGCCAUGAAGCGUGGAUGAUGAAGUGCCUCUGGGUUGUAAAAUUCUUUUAGAUUGGACGAAACCUGUGUAUUCUUACGCAGUGGCGGGUACCACAGGAAUAAGCACCGGCUAACUCCGU
rnacentral:rRNA from 1 species